GUCUGAUGUUUUCCUGCCACAAGAAAAAAAAUGCAAUUAAAGAAAUGUUGCAUACUCAUUAAUAAACUACAUAUUCAUAAGAACGAGGACCAGCCACAAAGGCAUGGAGCCAGUGAAAAGAGUGACAGCACCGAACAUGAAUCUAAACAAGCCUGAAAAAGGAGGGUUUUCCUAUAAUAUCAUGAAAAUAAGAGAAAAGAUAUAAAAGAUCUUAAGUGGGCACACCACCCACGCACUUCCAGCUACUCUUUUUAGACAGCAAGUACACCACAACUCAUGCUUUCCAUCUCCACAAGCAAGCUGCCACAGGCAGAUAAGAAAAAGAGAAAACUCAAGAGGAAACCAACCAAGGAAAACCCUUCCACAACUUCAACAUGGAUUGCAAAGAACAGUCUGAAAGAAGGACAUAGAGGAAGUGCCUUCCCUGAAGGAGAUGGCCAAUGGUUUGAUGUAGAAAUGAGGCACAAAUGUAUCCUGGAAGAAAAGAAUUCCAUCCUCAAACACACACAAUCAGCUGUGGGAUGUGCAGAGCUAGGAGGGUGAUCUUGAGGAGAUCAGUGGGCCCCCUUAAGGUAAAGUCAACUCGGUGCUAAACUCCCUGCUCUCUCCAGCUGCUGUGAAACUGCCAGCUCUUCUCUAUUCCCUCCUGAAAGCCUUUUAUCUGCCAAGGGGUGAAAGGAGAGAAAGAAUACUGGGAAGACUCACAACCACUUUAAAGUUGACAGCUUUCUGGAGAGUGUAUAUAACUUGUUCAUACGUGUGGACUUCAUCAUUAAAAAGCAUGCAGUAGUCUCCCUAAUGGUCUCUCUCCACCAAGCAACCAGAAUCUAGAAGUCUUUUGCAAAUCUAUGUUUACCACUUCAUAACAUAAGAUACUAAACCAAUAAAGCCAUUAGACGAGUUCUCCAUACUUUUAUCAAAAAAAUGUAAAUCAGUGUUAAAUAUAAUUCUAUAACUUCCACCAUUUACAGUAUUUUCCCACACAAAGCAGAACUAAAAGAAACUACUGUAGUAGAAUCAAAUUUUAAAUAAAGAUGUUUUAUUCCUAGUGCUAUUUA